rnacentral:rRNA from 1 species
AGCGAACGCUGGCGGCAGGCUUAACACAUGCAAGUCGAGCGGGCACUUCGGUGUCAGCGGCAGACGGGUGAGUAACACGUGGGAACGUGCCCUUCGGUUCGGAAUAACUCAGGGAAACUUGAGCUAAUACCGGAUACGCCCUUUGGGGGAAAGGUUUACUGCCGAAGGAUCGGCCCGCGUCUGAUUAGCUAGUUGGUGGGGUAAUGGCCUACCAAGGCGACGAUCAGUAGCUGGUCUGAGAGGAUGAUCAGCCACACUGGGACUGAGACACGGCCCAGACUCCUACGGGAGGCAGCAGUGGGGAAUAUUGGACAAUGGGCGCAAGCCCGAUCCAGCC